GUUAUUUGGUGUAUAAAUAAUAAUGUCUGCUCAAUGUUAAAUAGCCGCGAAAUUAUGUUCGUGCGAAGGUAGCGUAAUUAGUUGCCUUUUGAUUGAAGGCUUGUAUGAAAGGUAUAACUGGGUGAAAGGUUUUGUAGAUCGAAAUUAAGUUGAUUAUAAUAAUGUAGUCAUUAAUCUUUGGGACGAUAAGUCCCUAGAAGCUUGAGGAAUCUUUUAGUUGGGGUGAUUGAGGAAUAAAUGGAACUUUGUUUAAGUUACUCUAGGGUUAACAGCGUUAUUAAAAUUUGAAGUUCGGAUUUGAAUUAUAGUUUGCGACCUCGAUGUUGAAUUAAGAGGCGAAGGGGCUUUAGACUGUUCGUCUAUUAAAUACUUACA
rnacentral:rRNA from 1 species